GGCCGCCUGGCGAAAUGGCAUCGCGUCUGACUACGAAUCAGGAGAUUGCAGGUUCGACCCCUGCGGCGGUCA